rnacentral:misc_RNA from 1 species
GAAAAGUCUUGCCUAGCCUUCAUACCCUCGAUAAAAAUCUUUAACCAUUUCGCUCGCCGCUACUACGCUUUUUUUUAGCUGCCUUGCCGUCAUUCUCCAUGCUUGCUUUCCGCUUUUGGCACUAAUGAGCUAGCUUCUUUUCCUGCCUUAUUGCUUUUGACUAGACUACUGGCACUAACUAAAUAGCUUCCUUACUUGCCUUGGCUUUAAGUUUUCAGCUUUUAGA